rnacentral:misc_RNA from 1 species
AGUCGUAACAAGGUCUCCGUUGGUGAACCAGCGGAGGGAUCAUUACAGAGUUACUACUCCAAACCCAUUGUGAACCUUACCUAUGUUCUGUUGCCUCGGCGGCGUGGUCAGCGCCCCUCUGAAAAGAGGACGAUGCCCUCCCGCCGGCAGCACCAAACUCUUUGAAUUUUACAGCGGAUUACAGUUCUGAUUUGAAAACAAAAAAACAAGUUAAAACUUUCAACAACGGAUCUCUUGGUUCUGGCAUCGAUGAAGAACGCAGCGAAAUGCGAUAAGUAAUGUGAAUUGCAGAAUUCAGUGAAUCAUCGAAUCUUUGAACGCACAUUGCGCCCGGCAGUAAUCUGCCGGGCAUGCCUGUCCGAGCGUCAUUUCAACCCUCGAACCUCCGUUUCCUCAGGGAAGCUCAGGGUCGGUGUUGGGGCGCUACGGCGAGUCUUCGCGACCCUCCGUAGGCCCUGAAAUACAGUGGCGGUCCCGCCGCGGUUGCCUUCUGCGUAGUAAGUCUCUUUUGCAAGCUCGCAUUGGGUCCCGGCGGAGGCCUGCCGUCAAACCACCUAUAACUCCAGAUGGUUUGACCUCGGAUCAGGUAGGGUUACCCGCUGAACUUAAGCAUAUCAAUA